rnacentral:rRNA from 1 species
UACGUAGGGUGCAAGCGUUAAUCGGAAUUACUGGGCGUAAAGCGUGCGCAGGCGGUUAUGCAAGACAGAGGUGAAAUCCCCGGGCUCAACCUGGGAACUGCCUUUGUGACUGCAUAGCUAGAGUACGGUAGAGGGGGAUGGAAUUCCGCGUGUAGCAGUGAAAUGCGUAGAUAUCGGAAGGAACACCAGUGGCGAAAGCGGCUUCCUGGUCCAGCACCGACGUUCAGGCACGAAAGCGUGGGGAGCAAACAGG